AGUCGUAACAAGGUUUCCGUAGGUGAACCUGCGGAAGGAUCAUUACCGAGUGUAGGGUUCCUAGCGAGCCCAACCUCCCACCCGUGUUUACUGUAACCUUAGUUGCUUCGGCGGGCCCGCCUUUAAGGCCGCCGGGGGGCAUCAGCCCCCGGGCCCGCGCCCGCCGGAGACACCACGAACUCUGUCUGAUCUAGUGAAGUCUGAGUUGAUUGUAUCGCAAUCAGUUAAAACUUUCAACAAUGGAUCUCUUGGUUCCGGCAUCGAUGAAGAACGCAGCGAAAUGCGAUAACUAGUGUGAAUUGCAGAAUUCCGUGAAUCAUCGAGUCUUUGAACGCACAUUGCGCCCCCUGGUAUUCCGGGGGGCAUGCCUGUCCGAGCGUCAUUGCUGCCCAUCAAGCACGGCUUGUGUGUUGGGUCGUCGUCCCCUCUUCGGGGGGGACGGGCCCCAAAGGCAGCGGCGGCACCGCGUCCGAUCCUCGAGCGUAUGGGGCUUUGUCACCCGCUCUGUAGGCCCGGCCGGCGCUUGCCGAACGCAAAACAACCAUUCUUUCCAGGUUGACCUCGGAUCAGGUAGGGAUACCCGCUGAACCUAAGCAUAUCA
rnacentral:misc_RNA from 1 species